UGUGUGUGGGUGUGGGUGUGGGUUUUGGGGGGGUGUGGCAGGUGGCAGAAUCCAAGAGCCUUCCUCUUUCCUGCCCAUUUCUGGUGUUUCCAGUGCAUCUUUCUGCUUAGCAAAUAUUUGUUGAGCGUCUACUAUGUGUUGUAUAAGAAAGAAUUUGUGCCAGCUUCCUGGCAUGGAGCUCCUAAAACCCUUGGAAUUUCCCAAGUGAUAGAAGGGUCUUUGUUAUUCAUGAGCUUCCUGGAUCACACCGGAGUUUAUGCUAAUGAGGGGACUCUUGGAGAGAUCUCUUUGAUAGCUUCAGGAUGGGAGCUGGGACCAGAAAGAACAACCAUGCAAUUAGAUGGUCAAGACUUUGAGCCAAUGGGACCUCCAAGGGGGGAGAGAGGCUGGAGAUUGGGUUCACUCGGGUGGGCAGUGAUUUAACCCCUCCUGCCGACAAGCAAACCCCAGUGAAAAGCCCGUGGCGCUCGGUGAACACAUUAAUGUGUUGGGAAGGUGCUGCGCCUGGUCCAUGGAGAGAGAACAAGGCAGCGAUGCAAUUGGGCCCUCCCAGAUCUCACCAUAUCUGUCUCUUCAUUUGGCUGCCCCAGAUCUGUACCCUUUACAAUAAAACUGGUCGUAAGUAUAGCACCUUCCUGAACCCCGUGAGCCAUGGUAGAGAACCAUCCAAUCUGAGCGGGGUCGUGAGAACCCCCAGGUUUGUUGCCAGUUUUUAUUCAAUUAAAAUUGUUAAAGUGUUAUUACAAACUCUUUGUGAAUGUGAAAUCUCAUAACUGCAUAACACGUUCUCUUUCAGACAAACCAUAAUUUGGAAUGUUUCAGUUUUUGCCAUUGUAAAACUUCCUGUGUCUCCAUCAACAGAGAAAUGGCCGGCUGUCGCAUGACGUAGUGGAAUACUGUAGAGCAGGGUUCCAUAAUCAUUUUUAUGGACUGAAUUCCUCAACAUUGAAUUGCCGAGUCAUAGGAUAGGAUACUUCAGUGUUUUUGCUGCGUGCUGCUGAGCGGUCCCCAGACAUGCUGUGUCAGUGCACACAGAGCGGCAUUCAGCGCAGGCAUCACCGAGCCCUUUCUCCACAUCGGGGCGGGAAACAGCAGUGUUUGAGCUCCUUGCUGUUCUGAAGAGGUUUUUUUUAAAAAAAUUUCCAUGUAAAUUCUUUUUUAAAAUAUUUUUUCAAUUACA